UACGUAGGUGGCAAGCGUUGUCCGGAUUUACUGGGCGUAAAGGAUGCGUAGGCGGAUAUGUAAGUCAGAUGUGAAAUACCCGGGCUUAACUUGGGUGCUGCAUUUGAAACUGCAUAUCUAGAGUGCGGGAGAGGUAAGUGGAAUUCCUAGUGUAGCGGUGAAAUGCGUAGAGAUUAGGAAGAACACCAGUGGCGAAGGCGACUUACUGGACCGUAACUGACGCUGAGGCAUGAAAGCGUGGGGAGCAAACAGG
rnacentral:rRNA from 1 species